UACGUAGGGUGCGAGCGUUAAUCGGAAUUACUGGGCGUAAAGCGUGCGCAGGCGGGCUUUUAAGCCAGACGUGAAAUCCCCGGGCUUAACCUGGGAAUUGCGCUUGAAACUAGCGGGCUUGAGUGUGGCAGAGGGGGGUGGAAUUCCACGUGUAGCAGUGAAAUGCGUAGAGAUGUGGAGGAACACCGAUGGCGAAGGCAGCCCCCUGGGUCAACACUGACGCUCAUGCACGAAAGCGUGGGGAGCAAACAGG
rnacentral:rRNA from 1 species